AGAGUUUGAUCAUGGCUCAGAGCGAACGCUGGCGGCAGGCUUAACACAUGCAAGUCGAGCGGGCGUAGCAAUACGUCAGCGGCAGACGGGUGAGUAACGCGUGGGAACGUACCUUUUGGUUCGGAACAACACAGGGAAACUUGUGCUAAUACCGGAUAAGCCCUUACGGGGAAAGAUUUAUCGCCGAUGGAGGGGCCCGCGUCCGAUUAGGUAGUUGGUGAGGUAACGGCUCACCAAGCCUACGAUCGGUAGCUGGUCUGAGAGGAUGAUCAGCCACACUGGGACUGAGAUACGGCCCAGACUCCUACGGGAGGCAGCAGUGGGGAAUAUUGGACAAUGGGGGCAACCCUGAUCCAGCAAUGCCGCGUGAGUGAUGAAGGCCUUAGGGUUGUAAAGCUCUUUUACCAGGGAAGAUGAUGACUGUACCUGGAGAAUAAGCCCCGGCUAACUUCGUGCCAGCAGCCGCGGUAAUACGAAGGGGGCGAGCGUUGUUCGGAAUUACUGGGCGUAAAGGGCGCGUAGGCGGCCGUUCAAGUUAGAUGUGAAAGUCCUGGGCUUAACCUGGGGACUGCAUUUGAUACUGGAUGGCUUGAAUUCGGGAGAGGAUAGCGGAAUUCCCAGUGUAGAGGUGAAAUUCGUAGAUAUUGGGAAGAACACCGGUGGCGAAGGCGGCUAUCUGGACCGACAUUGACGCUGAGGCGCGAAAGCGUGGGGAGCAAACAGGAUUAGAUACCCUAGUAGUCC
rnacentral:rRNA from 1 species